UACGUAGGGUGCGAGCGUUGUCCGGAAUUAUUGGGCGUAAAGAGCUCGUAGGCGGUUUGUCGCGUCUGCUGUGAAAACCCGAGGCUCAACCUCGGGCCUGCAGUGGGUACGGGCAGACUAGAGUGCGGUAGGGGAGAUUGGAAUUCCUGGUGUAGCGGUGGAAUGCGCAGAUAUCAGGAGGAACACCAAUGGCGAAGGCAGCUCGCUGGGACGGUACUGACGCUGAGGCGCGAAAGCGUGGGGAGCAAACAGG
rnacentral:rRNA from 1 species